AGUGAACGCUGGCGGUAGGCCUAACACAUGCAAGUCGAACGGCAGCACAGUAAGAGCUUGCUCUUACGGGUGGCGAGUGGCGGACGGGUGAGGAAUACAUCGGAAUCUACUUUUUCGUGGGGGAUAACGAAGGGAAACUUACGCUAAUACCGCAUACGACCUACGGGUGAAAGCAGGGGAUCUUCGGACCUUGCGCGAUUGAAUGAGCCGAUGUCGGAUUAGCUAGUUGGCGGGGUAAAGGCCCACCAAGGCGACGAUCCGUAGCUGGUCUGAGAGGAUGAUCAGCCACACUGGGACUGAGCCACGGUACAGACUCCGACGGGAGGCAGCAGUGGGGAAUAUUGGACGAUGGGCGCAAGCCUGAUCCAGCCAUACCGCGUGGGUGAAGAAGGCCUUCGGGUUGUAUAGCCCUUUUGUUGGGAAAGAAAAGCAGCAGGUUAAUACCCCGCUGUUCUGACGGUACCCAAAGAAUAAGCACCGGCUAACUUCGUG
rnacentral:rRNA from 1 species